UACAGAGGGUGCAAGCGUUAAUCGGAAUUACUGGGCGUAAAGCGUGCGCAGACGGUUGCGUAAGUCAGAUGUGAAAGCCCCGGGCUCAACCUGGGAAUGGCAUUCGGGACUGCAAGGCUGGAGUGCGGCAGAGGAGACUGGAAUUCCUGGUGUAGCAGUGAAAUGCGUAGAUAUCAGGAGGAACACCGAUGGCGAAGGCAGGUCUCUGGGCUGACACUGACGCUCAUGCACGAAAGCGUGGGGAGCAAACAGG
rnacentral:rRNA from 1 species